UACGAAGGGGGCUAGCGUUGUUCGGAAUUACUGGGCGUAAAGCGCACGUAGGCGGAUAUUUAAGUCAGGGGUGAAAUCCCGGGGCUCAACCCCGGAACUGCCUUUGAUACUGGUAGUCUCGAGUCCGGAAGAGGUGAGUGGAAUUCCGAGUGUAGAGGUGAAAUUCGUAGAUAUUCGGAGGAACACCAGUGGCGAAGGCGGCUCACUGGUCCGGUACUGACGCUGAGGUGCGAAAGCGUGGGGAGCAAACAGG
rnacentral:rRNA from 1 species